UACGAGUGCCCCGAGCGUUAUCCGGAAUCAUUGGGCGUAAAGGGUGUGUAGGUGGCAAUGUUAGUCUUUUGUCAAAACCUUGGGCUCAACCCAAGAUCUGCAGAAGAAACGGCAUUGCUCGAGGAUGCGAGGGGUGAAUGGAACUCAUGGAGUAGGGGUGAAAUCCGUUGAUAUCAUGGGGAACACCAAAAGCGAAGGCAAUUCACUGGCGCAUUCCUGACACUGAAACACGAAAGCGUGGGUGAGCGAACGGG
rnacentral:rRNA from 1 species